rfam:Brevibacillus panacihumi W25 genomic scaffold Scaffold1, whole genome shotgun sequence.
UAACCUUCUCCGCUAGGAGAAACUGAACGGUCAGGAGUCAGCAGAGGCCAUAGUACCGGAGUAGAGGACGCUUGAAACGGGAAGGGC